AACGAACGCUGGCGGCAGGCCUAACACGUGCAAGUCGAACGCUGUAGCAAUACAGAGUGGCAGACGGGUGAGUAACGCGUGGGAACCUUCCCAGUGGUGCGGAAUAGCUCAGGGAAACUUGAGGUAAUACCGCAUAAGCCCCUAGGGGGAAAGAUUUAUCGCCAUUGGAUGGGCCCGCGUCGGAUUAGCUAGUUGGUGAGGUAAUGGCUCACCAAGGCAACGAUCCGUAGCUGGUUUGAGAGAAUGACCAGCCACACUGGGACUGAGACACGGCCCAGACUCCUACGGGAGGCAGCAGUGGGGAAUCUUGGACAAUGGGCGCAAGCCUGAUCCAGCCAUGCCGCGUGAGUGACGAAGGCCUUAGGGUUGUAAAGCUCUUUUGCCGGGGACGAUAAUGACGGUACCCGGAGAAUGAGUCCCGGCUAACUUCGUGCCAGCCGCCGCGGUAA
rnacentral:rRNA from 1 species